rnacentral:rRNA from 1 species
AAGACCUUGCGCUUUUGGAGCGGCCGAUGUCUGAUUAGCUAGUUGGUAAGGUAAAAGCUUACCAAGGCUUCGAUCAGUAGCUGGUCUGAGAGGACGACCAGCCACACUGGGACUGAGACACGGCCCAGACUCCUACGGGAGGCAGCAGUGGGGAAUUUUGGACAAUGGGGGCAACCCUGAUCCAGCCAUGCCGCGUGAGUGAAGAAGGCCUUCGGGUUGUAAAGCUCUUUCAGCCGGAACGAAACGGUUACGGUUAAUACCCGUGACUACUGACGGUACCGGAAGAAGAAGCACCGGCUAACUACGUGCCAGCAGCCGCGGUAAUACGUAGGGUGCAAGCGUUAAUCGGAAUUACUGGGCGUAAAGCGUGCGCAGGUGGUUUUGUAAGUCAGAUGUGAAAUCCCCGGGCUUAACCUGGGAACU